rnacentral:rRNA from 1 species
UACGUAGGGCGCAAGCGUUGUCCGGAAUUAUUGGGCGUAAAGAGCUCGUAGGCGGCUUGUCGCGUCGGAUGUGAAAGCCCGGGGCUUAACCCCGGGUCUGCAUUCGAUACGGGCAGGCUAGAGUUCGGUAGGGGAGAUCGGAAUUCCUGGUGUAGCGGUGAAAUGCGCAGAUAUCAGGAGGAACACCCGUGGCGAAGGCGGCUCUCUAGUACGGUACUGACGCUGAGACGCGAAAGCGUGGGGAGCGAACAGG